CGGAGUGGACGCAUCACUGGUGUUCGGGUUGUCAUGCCAAUGGCAUUGCCCGGUAGCUAAAUGCGGAAGAGAUAAGUGCUGAAAGCAUCUAAGCACGAAACUUGCCCCGAGAUGAGUUCUCCCUGACCCUUUAAGGGUCCUGAAGGAACGUUGAAGACGACGACGUUGAUAGGCCGGGUGUGUAAGCGCAGCGAUGCGUUGAGCUAACCGGUACUAAUGAACCGUGAGGCUUAACCUU
rnacentral:rRNA from 2 species